UACCCAUAGAAUAUGAGCACU
rnacentral:snRNA from 1 species